rnacentral:rRNA from 1 species
GAUGAACGCUAGCUACAGGCUUAACACAUGCAAGUCGCGGGGCAGCAUGGGGGUUGCUUGCAAUCCCCGAUGGCGACCGGCGCACGGGUGAGUAACGCGUAUCCAACCUGCCCUUCACCACGGGAUAACCCGGCGAAAGUCGGACUAAUACCGUAUGUUGUCCAUUGACGGCAUCCGAUUUGGACGAAAGGUUUGGCGGUGAAGGAUGGGGAUGCGUCCGAUUAGCUGGACGGCGGGGUGACGGCCCACCGUGGCGACGAUCGGUAGGGGUUCUGAGAGGAAGGUCCCCCACACUGGAACUGAGACACGGUCCAGACUCCUACGGGAGGCAGCAGUGAGGAAGAUUGGUCAAUGGGCGUAAGCCUGAACCAGCCAAGUAGCGUGCAGGAGGACGGCCCUAGGGGUUGUAAACUGCUUUUAUGCGGGGAUAAAGUGGCCCACGUGUGGGUUUUUGCAGGUACCGCAUGAAUAAGGACCGGCUAAUUCCAUG